UACGGGAGGCAGCAGGGGAGGAAUAUUGCACAAUGGGCGAAAGCCUGAUGCAGCUAUGCCGCGUGUAUGAAGAAGGCCUUAGGGUUGUAAAGUACUUUCAUCGGGGAGGAAAAAACAAAACUAAUAAUUUUAUUUCUUGACGUUACCCGAAAAAGAAGCACCGGCUAACUCCGUGCCAGCAGCCGCGGUAAUACGGAGGGUGCUAGCGUUAAUCAGAAUUACUGGGCGUAAAGAGCACGUAGGUGGUUUUUUUAAGUCAGAUGUGAAAUCCCUGGGCUUAACCUAGGAACUGCAUUUUGAAACUGAAAUACUAGAGUAUCGUAGAGGGAGGUAGAAUUCUAGGUGUAGCGGUGAAAUGCGUAGAUAUCUGGAGGAAUACCUGUGGCGAAAGCGGCCUCCUAAACGAAUACUGACACUGAGGUGCGAAAGCGUGGGGAGCAAACAGGGAUUAGAUACC
rnacentral:rRNA from 1 species